rnacentral:lncRNA from 1 species
CCUAUUCAUAAUAAUCUGCUCCUCCAUCUUCAGACUGUGACUGCUCAGGAAGGGUGUGGUGAGAGACAGCAUACAGUGCCUGCCCCCGUAUGCUUGGUUAGGCAGGUCUCAUCAAUGGCUUGUUUCCCUUCCUGGAAGUCUCGUGGAAAAGGGUUCUGAAGUCAGAACAGAUGAUUUCUACUGUAACGAUUGGGAUUAUUUAAAGUCACUUUAUAUUUAUUCUUGCCCUCGGACCCAAGUGAUUGGCCCAAGGUAAGUAAAAAAAUGUAUGCUUUUUCUUCACGCAUAGAGUCUAAGAAAGAAGUGCUAGCGAGACCGACAGAACUCUUCUUUGUAAGGGAGGCUGAAGAGCACCUCCUGAAAUGUCAUG